rnacentral:lncRNA from 1 species
ACUCUCCAACCGACGCAGCGGAGAGUCAGGCACAAAGUCCGGUGACCCCGGAACCGAGCGUAGCCUCUGGCCUGGGAGCUCGGAAACUCUGCCCUAGAACAGUUCAGGUCAAGCUGGGGUCGGAGGGGGUCUUCCCUCAGUGACCCCAGUUCCCUGCGCGGGUCUCUCCCAUUCUAGGCCACAGUUCCCGCACACAAACUUUUCCCUACUCAUUCAGUCCUUUCGGAACCCUGCCUUCAUUGCUCGGCUGGCUCCAGGGGUCUGGCGGGCUAAUACCCGGGACCCAAGAAAGUGUCUAAUGACCCUUACCAGAACGGGUCCCGAAGGAUGGGACUCCAUAAUACGUGGGGUGCACACAUCCAAGCCCGACUUUGACGGGUUAUGGGUGCAAGUGUGGAAAGAAACGACAGGAGAACAAACUUGGGAAGCCGGACCAAGCGACACUUCCCUGUCCCUAAGUCAGUCUCCAGAGCGACCGGCAGCACUCGGCCGCGACCCCAGGAUGUCGCUCCUCCACCCCAACCCCCAGUUCUCACGGCUCGGAACCCCCAAAGGGUAGUAAAAAGGCAGAGACUGCUGGCAGGAGCUGCUAUGGCACCGUGAGCUGCAGCUGAUCUCCGGGAACUCUGCUGCCUGGUCCAGCCAGUUGUACAAUCGCUUCAAGACUGCAGCAUGGCAAUCACAUGAACCGUCGCAGCGGAUCAAGUUUAAGACUCUUCUGCUACAUGAGCAAAGGACCCCCUCUUUGAUGGACCCAGAACUAGCCUCUCCCACAAAGACCCUCCUCAGCAAAAAAAAAAAAAAAAAAAAAAAAAAAGCUGUAAUGCCUCUGGCAUGCAUUUUUAUAUCCUUUCAGAGUUAGCAAUGCUAGUUUCCUACUCAUCCCAGCUCAGCUCCCCUUGCAGAUUAUCGUAGUCAUUCCUGCCCCCGUAAGCGGCCACACCCCAUCUUUUUCUGUUGGCAUUUUGGCUAUAUUUACAGAGAGAGACAAAGAUGCCCCCUCAACGUGAAUAUACACGGUCCCACCUGAGGUCAGACCCCCCUCUUUCUCUCUCUGUUUCUCUCUCUCUGUUUCUCUCUCUCUGUUUCUCUCUGUAUCUCUUUCUCCCCAGAUGCUUCUUAAUGCUCUAACCAAAAGGGCUACCUACCCCUGUGUGCACACCUCACAGCAUGACUUUUAACCCUGCUGGUAGCCCCUUGGUGUGGGCAUUCAGCUCCCAAUAAACCACGAGGGCCAGCAAGUGCCAUUGAAUCUGGAGUCAGGGACAGUGCUGCCCUCUUUGAGACAGUCUUUCAUGCCUCCCAGGCUGGCCCUCAGAUCUCAGUUGGCUUGCUUUAGCUUCCAGAGGGAUGGGAGGCACAGUGCUCAGUCCUUUGCCCUUUCUCUGUCUCUUUGUUUUGCCACUGAGAGUCUAGUAUACUGCAGAUGCUCAGGGGAUAUGGACAUGUUAGUGGGGACUGGGAAAGAAUUCUCCUAUGAGAGAUUCCUGUGUCCUGUGGUGCAGUGAGGAAGAUACUGAGACCUGCAGUGAUUGAGAGUGAUGGGAACUCAUCUACCUGUGUCUCAGGAUCCUUGUCCUCCACUGGCCUCCAUGGCAUUGACAGACUGAUGACAUUUUCUGACGUUGAAGUCAUACCUUGAUUUUACCUUCAUUAUUUCUUUCUUGGUUAGUUGUUUGCAGUAGUGGAGAUUUGAACCCAGGGCCUAGAGAUUGCUAUGCAAGUACCACUGAGCUCUAGUCCCAGCCUUUACAAUUUUUUAAAAAAAUAUCUAAAAUAGAGUCUGGGUGCUGGCUUUGAACUCACUCUGUAGUCCAGGCUAGUCUUGAACUCGUGAGCCUUCUUCUGCCUCUCAGUCUCCGGAGUAACUAGCCUGGUUUUAUCAUGACUUCUCAGUGACUGACCCGCUUUGAAUUUCCACUUCCUAAAAACUGGCUGAAUUUGGAAGGCUUUGGGGGCUGAUUCUGUAGGUUGGUGUGUCUGUGUCUGAGCCUGGUGUGUGCUAGGCAGAAGGUGAAGAAUGUCCCCCUCCACCUUCCCAUUCACACAGAGCUAGGCCUCCUGUUUCAUACGCAGCCAGAAGGUCUCAAGCCCCAGAAGAGAAAGCCAUCCCUUAUCGCCCUCGGCCGCACUGAUGGUUUUAUUCUUUUGAAAGCGUCAAUGUUUGCUCAGUGAUGUAAGUCUUAAAUAAGCAUCUAGAUGACAAGCUGCAGAUGAUGAAAACUGUCCGUGGAAAAAAAUCAUCUCACACGAUCAUGUUUCUGUCAUUAUCUGGGGCCUCUGCAGUGGGCAAAUCUCUGCAGCUACUAAACGAUAACAUUAGUCCUAAUACCAUGUAAAAUGACUACUUCCUCUGGGUAGGUUUAUUUUUAAUGGUGUUAUGUCAGCAGCAAAUAGCUGGGAAGACCCCAGAGGAAAAGCCCUGUUCUCGCUCUCACUGAAGUGAUGAUAUGGUUAUAUUUAAUAUCUAUAUUAAAAACCUUUUAGGCGCUGUG